AGGUGAUAUCUAGACAAUGUGAAC
rnacentral:siRNA from 1 species